UACGUAGGGUGCGAGCGUUGUCCGGAAUUAUUGGGCGUAAAGAGCUCGUAGGCGGUCUGUUACGUCGGAUGUGAAAACCCGAGGCUUAACCUCGGGCCUGCAUUCGAUACGGGCAGACUCGAGUGUGGUAGGGGAGACUGGAACUCCUGGUGUAGCGGUGGAAUGCGCAGAUAUCAGGAGGAACACCGAUGGCGAAGGCAGGUCUCUGGGCCGCAACUGACGCUGAGGAGCGAAAGCAUGGGGAGCGAACAGG
rnacentral:rRNA from 1 species